UCGGGUGUGGUGCACGGUGCACGGCGGCUAAUAGUAAUUUCGGCAGUAGAUGUAGGCCGCAGACCGGGGUUCGACUCCCCGCGCCCGAA